rnacentral:ncRNA from 1 species
CUUUGCAGCUAGGGGGGCCUCUAAUGAGGCUGAGAUGGAUCAUUGCAUCCGACCCUUUGAACCUGAUUCGGGCAAUACCGACGUAGGGAAGCUGCAUCAAGAUCGA